AGUGAACGCUGGCGGCAGGCCUAACACAUGCAAGUCGAGCGGCAGCGCGUCCGACCACCCUCGGGUGGUCGGAUGGCGGCGAGCGGCGGACGGGUGAGGAAUGCAUCGGAAUCUGCCUCGUUGUGGGGGAUAACGUAGGGAAACUUACGCUAAUACCGCAUACGACCUACGGGUGAAAGUGGGGGACCUUCGGGCCUCACGCGAUGAGAUGAGCCGAUGCCGGAUUAGCUAGUUGGCGGGGUAAAGGCCCACCAAGGCGACGAUCCGUAGCUGGUCUGAGAGGAUGAUCAGCCACACUGGAACUGAGACACGGUCCAGACUCCUACGGGAGGCAGCAGUGGGGAAUAUUGGACAAUGGGGGCAACCCUGAUCCAGCCAUGCCGCGUGUGUGAAGAAGGCCUUGGUUGUAAG
rnacentral:rRNA from 1 species